rnacentral:rRNA from 1 species
UACGAAGGUCCCAAGCGUUGUUCGGAAUCACUGGGCGUAAAGGGAGCGUAGGCGGCGUGGUAAGUCAGAUGUGAAAUCCCGGGGGCUCAACCCCGGAACUGCAUCCGAUACUGCCGUGCUUGAGGGUUGGAGAGGUGACUGGAAUUAUCGGUGUAGCAGUGAAAUGCGUGGAUAUCGGAUAGGAACACUCGUGGCGAAGGCGAGUCACUGGACAACAUCUGACGCUGAGGCUCGAAGGCUAGGGGAGCAAAAGGG